ACGGAAGGCAGCAGUGGGGAAUAUUGCACAAUGGGGGAAACCCUGAUGCAGCGACGCCGCGUGAGCGAAGAAGUAUUUCGGUAUGUAAAGCUCUAUCAGCAGGGAAGAAAAUGACGGUACCUGACUAAGAAGCCCCGGCUAACUACGUGCCAGCAGCCGCGGUAAUACGUAGGGGGCAAGCGUUAUCCGGAUUUACUGGGUGUAAAGGGAGCGUAGACGGCAAGGUAAGUCUGAAGUGAAAUGCCGGGGCUCAACCCCGGAACUGCUUUGGAAACUAUCUCGCUCGAGUACCGGAGGGGUAAGCGGAAUUCCUAGUGUAGCGGUGAAAUGCGUAGAUAUUAGGAGGAACACCAGUGGCGAAGGCGGAUUGCUGGACGACAACUGACGGUGAGGCGCGAAAGCGUGGGGAGCAAACAGGAUUAGAUACCCUGGUA
rnacentral:rRNA from 1 species